rnacentral:rRNA from 1 species
GACGAACGCUGGCGGCGUGCUUAACACAUGCAAGUCGAACGGAAAGGCCCUGCUUUUGUGGGGUGCUCGAGUGGCGAACGGGUGAGUAACACGUGAGUAACCUGCCCUUGACUUUGGGGUAACUCCAGGAAACUGGGGCUAAUACCGGAUAGGAGCUCCUGCUGCAUGGUGGGGGUUGGAAAGUUUCGGCGGUUGGGGAUGGACUCGCGGCUUAUCAGCUUGUUGGUGGGGUAGUGGCUUACCAAGGCUUUGACGGGUAGCCGGCCUGGGAGGGUGACCGGCCACAUUGGGACUGCGAUACGGCCCAGACUCCUACGGGAGGCAGCAGUGGGGAAUAUUGCACAAUGGGCGGAAGCCUGAUGCAGCAACGCCGCGUGCGGGAUGACGGCCUUCGGGUUGUAAACCGCUUUCGCCUGUGACGAAGCGUGAGUGACGGUAAUGGGUAAAGAAGCACCGGCUAACUACGUG